AGCGAACGCUGGCGGCAGGCUUAACACAUGCAAGUCGAGCGCCCCGCAAGGGGAGCGGCAGUCGGGUGAGUAACGCGUGGGAAUCUACCCAUCUCUACGGAAUAACGCAUGGAAACGUGUGCUAAUACCGUAUACGUCCUUCGGGAGAAAGAUUUAUCGGAGAAGGAUGAGCCCGCGUUGGAUUAGCUAGUUGGUGGGGUAAAGGCCUACCAAGGCGACGAUCCAUAGCUGGUCUGAGAGGAUGAUCAGCCACACUGGGACUGAGACACGGCCCAGACUCCUACGGGAGGCAGCAGUGGGGAAUAUUGGACAAUGGGCGCAAGCCUGAUCCAGCCAUGCCGCGUGAGUGAUGAAGGCCCUAGGGUUGUAAAGCUCUUUCACCGGUGAAGAUAAUGACGGUAACCGGAGAAGAAGCCCCGGCUAACUUCGUGCCAGCCGCCGCGGUAACAC
rnacentral:rRNA from 1 species